rnacentral:misc_RNA from 1 species
AAGCCUUCUGAAAGAGAGCGUUUGGUAGUGUCUAUAGCCUUAUGAUAAUUUUUCCUUUUCAUCACUUCGAUUCUCUUAACCUUGUCAUGGAGGAAUGACUCAGUUUUUCAGAAAUAUUUAUUGCAUGAUCUAAUAGUACUUCUAAAGUAGCAUAAGUGGAGGGUUGUGAUAUUCUUGUUUCUUCACAGCCUAUUUGCUGAAGCAGACAACUAAAUGUAGUGACCUUCAAGAUGCUAGAGUAUAAAACCUAAUGUGCUACUUAACUGUAUUUAAAUAAGAGUAAACAAUAAAUUUGAAUUUUAACCUCUGGUGGAUGAAAUUUAACCUUGCUUUCUAUUUUCCUUGUUUUUGCAACUGUUGUGAGAAAACUGAGGAAGUAAAUUUGUGGUGUAUGAUAGGAGCAUGUAGUCCUCAUGCACGUUUCUAUAGUAAUUUACUACAAAUUGAGGGAUUGAUAAAUAUUUAGUGUAUGAUACUAGUUGGUAGCUUCUACAUGGCUGACUCACUCUGGUUACAACUGCACCUGAUUCUUGAGGACGUCUUCUUUUUUGCUUUUCUUGCCCAUAUUUUACUUGCAACAAGAAUUUAUGGUAUAUCCUACUGGAGCUGUUCCUGCAAUCAGCAACAGUUGGGGGAUGGCGUUUAUUGAACAACUAACAUUAUUCAAAUUACAGCACAUCAACUGGUGUAUGCUGAUAGAUGUCUAUAAGUUACACUGGUAGAAUGAUAUGCUCAUUUGAUACUAAUUAUUAUGAACCAUCUGAUUGGUAAUGGAGUUGAUUAUGUAGUAAUUACUUUUGCAUUUAUGUUCUUUGUAGA